UGUGGGCUUGGUCGGGGGGGACAUGCAAAACAUGCUUCCCUCCCUAGCUAAAGCGCGCCAUAUAUGGCAAUGACUCGAAGACGUGACAAGGAACAUACAAAUUAUCAUUCUCACAAACAAUAUAUCUUUCGUUGCAAUUAAACCUCGAUAGAAUCAAAGCAUACAUUUAUAAAAACACUGCUUGAAUCUACUUGGCAUACCUCAACAAGCAUAUUGUAUCUAAGGUGUGUCAAGAACAUUGAGCAUCACGCAAUCCACCCUUUAGCCAGAAUAGAUUCCAACCCUACGCUCGCUUACAACUGCACUGGGGUCAGACAGGCUGGGGUCGGACGACUCGUUCAAUCUUCUCGGUAUAACAGUUGGGAUAAUGGGACAAUUCAGAGUACAAUGCAUUUCUCAUCCCUGGAUUGAGGUACGUUUUCUGAGCCAUAUCUGGCGCCACUGUGUCUUAAUCUAAACAGAAUCCUGUCCGACCCCAGUGCAGCUGUAAGCAAGCAUAGGGUCAGAAUCUAUUCUGGCUAUCCACCCUUUAACAUCUGAACGACGUCUUUUAAGUCUGAGCUCAAUGUCGGUCUACAUUUUUACUGGAAAAGGAUGAAAGGGUAUAAAAACUCUCUCCCUCUCCCUCUCUCCCUCUGUGUGUGGGUGAUUGUGUGGGCAGAGACAGGUGGAGUCAGAGCUGGAGUCAGAGCAGAUCCCCACCAGCUGCAACCUGUUCUAUAAUCAAGACAUCUACAAAUACUCAGCCCUGCCACUUCCAUGCUGCCAGAUCGUAAUCUCUGCUCAGUCAGUCUACGUUUCUAGUCAUUUGGUACUAUUCAGAUCCUGUUGUGCCUGUUUUCCUUGCCUGUUUUGCUCUCCGCUACAGUUCUGCCCGCUCUGACUCUGGUCCCUGUCUCCAGUCCCACGUCUCGUCAUCCUGCUACUCUGUCCUGGAUUCCCCACACUACCCUGUCUCAACCCCUCUCGCUCCAACCUCAGCCUCCGCACCUGGUUUCCAGCGACCCGCCCGAGCUUCCCCUGACCUGCACUACAUCUCCCCCCUGUGUUUCAAUAAAUACCUUGGUUACUUCA